UAACGUUAGGCUUAAAUCGCAAUGUUAACGCUAGUUGUAGUGGGUGCAUUUCUAUCCAACAAGCUAUUAAACAAGCUAGGUAACGUUACAUUAUAUUACACUAACAUAGCAAACCUUUUUGUCAUGACUAAUUUAUUAAUUACUCAGCAUCAUUUCUAUUUGAGAAAAGAAGAACUUCCUCCGAUGUUUAAUGGGAAUAAAAU